GCCUCUUUAGCUCAAAGGCAGAGCAGCGGUUUUGUAAACCGCAGAUUAGAGUUCGACUCUCUAAAGAGGCUCCA
rnacentral:tRNA from 1 species